rnacentral:rRNA from 1 species
AUUGAACGCUGGCGGCAGGCCUAACACAUGCAAGUCGAACGAGUGGCGGACGGGUGAGUAAUGUCUGGGAAACUGCAUGAUGGAGGGGGAUAACUACUGGAAACGGUAGCUAAUACCGCAUACCAUCAGAUGUGCCCAGAUGGGAUUAGCUAGUUGGUGGGGUAACGGCUCACCAAGGCGACGUUCCCUAGCUGGGCUGAGAGGAUGACCAGCCACAUUGGAACUGAGACACGGCCCAGAUCCCUACGGGAGGCAGCAGUGGGGAAUAUUGCGCAAUGGGCGCAAGCCUGAUGAAGCCAUGCAGCGUGUAUGAAGAAGGUCUUCGGAUUGUAAAGCACUUUAAGUUGGGAGGCGUUACCAACAGAAUAAGCACCGGCUAACUUCGUGCCAGCAGCCGCGGUAAUUC